UUAGUUUCUUUUUGUUUCUUUGUUUUCUUUGUUUUGUUUGGGAGUUUAGUGCAGUGUUGAGCUUGGAAGAUGCGGGAACUCGCGCCUUGUCCAUACUACCACCUUGGAGCAUGUGUUUCUGUGAGUAGUGACACACAUAUCAUCAUCCCUCCAAACUUAUUUUCGAACUUAUGUUCUGUAAUAAGUUUGGGGGAGGGGGUGAGAGUAGAUAUGUGUAUCACUUUUAUUACUUUUGUUGGCUUUAUUGUUUUAUCUUGCUUGGUUGGUGGUGUGUGAUUGUUAGCUCCAUUAGAUUUCUGGUAAGAUGCCAAUGAUGAUUUCU
rnacentral:lncRNA from 1 species